GUUGUAUGUGGGGAGUUCUAAUCCAUCUGCUUGUUGUGGUCCUUUUCUCUCCUGCUUGUAGAUGUAGAGGUAGGCGUAGGUUGUUUAUUCUGAUGUAGAUGUAGAGGUAGGCGAAGUUAUAGUUGCAGCGGUGGAUUCGCCCUAUCAAUUUUAUUUCUGCUGGCCUGGGUGUCUGUUCCUUUGUCGUUAGAUGUAGUUGCAGAUGGUCUAGCAUGGGUUUCUGCCUGCUUCUGCAGUUUACUUGUAGUUGCUGUUAGCUGCUGAUGUUUGCUGUUGUAGUCCCUGGAAUUCAGUAUGAUUUUUUUUUGUUAGAUGUAGGUGUUCAUUUCACCCGGUACCUGAAUCUCUCUGAAUUUGUGUGUACUAGGCUGCAGUGUUGUUGUAGUGUUAGUCCAGGAAUCUCUCUGAAUUUCAUGCUUCUUUACGGUGUAUUUUUACUCCAGACUUGAAGUGUAACUUACCCCUAGAAUUACAGUGUAUCCCCAUCCAGAAUUACUGUGUAAUUUAACUCAUAAUUACAGUGUAACUUGCCCCAUAAUUGCAGUGCAUUUACAGUGUAUCCUGAUGCUUCUUUAUUUGUUGUUACUCUGUAAUUUGUCCUAGUAGUACUGUGUAUUUCCCCCCUAAUUACAGUGUAAUCCUGAUGCUUCUUUCUUCAGUGUAAAUUUUGCUAUAAUUACUGUGUAACAUGUCGUAGAAUUACACUGUAGGUUACCCUGCAAUUACAGUGCAAUAUACCGUGAUUACCGUGUGUUUUUUGUGCUUCUUUAUUUGUAAUUACUGUGUAAUUUGUCCUAGAAUUACUGUGUAAUAUUUCCCCCCAUUACAGUGUAAUUCUCAUGUGUCGUAGAAUCACACUGUAGGUUAGCCUGCAAUUACAGUGUAAUAUACCGUAAUUACAUUGUUUUUUUCGUGCUUCUUUAUUUUGUAAUUACUGUGUAAUUUUUCCUAGAGUUAUUGUGUAAUAUUUCCCCCGUUACAGUGUAAUUCUCAUGCUUCUUUCAGUGUAAAUUGCAGUGUAUAUUUUUCAGUGUAAUACUGCGCCAGUUUCUUUGUUAUUUACAUUGUAAUUUUUCUCAGAUGUUUUGCAUGCAUUCAUGUGGUUUUGCACUGUAAUAUCCCCCAUUCUUACUAUAUAAUUUAUCUUCAGUUUUUGGCAGUGUACUUCCUCUACCUUUUCAUUGUAAGUUGCCCUAAUUAUUGUGUAUUUUGACUCAGAGUUUCACUGUAUUUAGGUUAGUUUUUACACUGUAUUUUAAGUGAUUCUUGCACUGUAUUAAUAUGCCCCAUUAUUCUAUAAUUCCCCUGAUUGCUGCCUUUCAGUGUAUUUGUUGUGAGAUUUCCCUUGUAAUUGAGCCCCAUUACCCUAUAAUUUUCAACUUUCUUUAAUUUCUUUUUUUUCGUGUGUCAUGUAUUCUGUUUUGUUAGGUUUAGGUCAAUGGGGAGACUACGGAAAGUCUCUCACAAGGAUGUUUCGGUAGUUUCUUCUAUCAUGAGUGCUGAUUCUUGGAAUGAUCCUUUUGUGCCUAAUGCAAGGUUUACGAGUCGACAAGUCGACGAGUCGACGAGUCGUUCCGAGGUUGAGACUCAUAGACUAAUCGUGACUAGUCUAGACUAGUGCUGGACUAGUCGACAUGGUACUGUAGUACUCAAUUAUUAAUAACUAGUAGUAGUAUAUAGUAUAUAUAUUUUCUGAGCGGUGUAUGUAGUAUAUACUAACAGUACAGUAUGCAAUAACACCAGAAGUGCUAGGCGACGCUCACCAAGCCCAGCCCAGCGCCACGCAGCAGCCCCCAGCUGGCCCAUUUGGGCCCAAGUGGCCAGCCUACUUAGCCCCCCCAGUAACUGGAACCCUAGCUCCCGAUCGAUCCCAUUGCAGCCGCCAGCAUCAUCACACAAGGGAGCACGCGCGCGCAACCCACGCCUCCGGCCGCUGCCACCGAUCACCGCCAUGCCUCCUCUCCUCUCCUCUAUCUCUCUUCCUUCUCUCUUGUCUCAGGGCCGCGCACUCCUACGUGUCACGGCUAUGGCCUCUGCCCAAGCACGAGCUCCGGCCAGGCUGGGUGACUUAUCCCCUCAAAAUUUUGAGUCGCUCGACUCAAAUAGCUCGACUAGUCUGUCAACUGCUCAACUAGUCCCUCGACUCGUAAUCAGUGGCCUAUUGACUUUGCGGAAGAUGGUUCUAAUGCUAUGUCUUUGGAUCUUUCUAGUGAUGAUAGAGGGUUUGAUAAAGCUAUUUUUCAAGAAUUUCAUUGCAAUCCCCAUGCUUCCUUUUUGUAAUUGCAGUGUAAUAUACCCUAGAAUUGCAGUGUAAUUUAGCCCAGAUUUUAGUGUAAUCCCAAUGCUUCAUUUUUUUAAUUACAGUGUAAUUUUCCUAGAAUUAUAGUGUAAACUCCAUGCUUCAUUUAUGUAAUUACGGUGUAAUUUUCCCCUAAUUACAGUUUAAACUUCAUGCUUUAUUUAUGUAAUUAUAGUGUAAUUAUUCUCCGAAUUGCAGUGUAAUUUUUCCUAGAACUUCAGUGUAAAUUUCAAAAAAAAAUUCUAAACAAAGUAGUGUAAUUUUCCUGCUGAACCUCUAUUACUUGAUAUUUGAGCUUCAUUCUUGUUCAGCUUUGCUUGAAUUACAGUGGAUUUUAACUCUGUUUAGUGCGAUUAUCCUGUGUAGUUCCUUGGUUAUUAUCAUUGUAAUCCACUAGUGUGAUUAUUCAUUUCCUUCACUGUCCAUGUGUACGAGCACUGUAACAAGCUCUGCUUUUCAUUGUCAAUAUUAAUGCCUUCAUCUGAUAGGACUUGUGUUCUUUAUGCUGAUAGGUAUCUCUUUGUAUUCAUGACUUCGUCUGAACUUGCAUGUGUCUCUGUAAUCCACUGAGUUCAUGUUAGUUACAUUGCCCUGUAUCGCAGCAAAGAUUUUUUCAUGUGUACUACAGCAAAGUUUUUUUCAUGUAAUUUCCCCAUGGUUCAUGCUACCUACAUUGCCCUAUACUGCAGCAAAGUUUUUUUCAUGUGUACCUUACACUGGAAUUCGUGUUGGUGUAGUGUUUUGACAGUGAAAUAUUAACAGUUUUACCUUCCGACAGUUAGAACUUUUCCCCCGAUGAUUACAAACUUUUCACUAGAUUGUAUGAUGUUUUUUUUUUCUACAGGCUAGUUCAUGUAGGAGGUGUAUGUAGAGCAGCGGGGUGAGGAAAAACAUGGAAGAAUUCAAUAGAAGUGUGAUCAAAAGGAGUAGGACAUUACGUGAGCUGUGGACCGUCUCUUGGAUGAUCUUCCUCUGUCCUCCACCAAUUAUUCGGAUCUGUUCUUCCCCCUUGCUUCUCUCCAGGUGAUUUGUUGUCCAGGAAAGGAAAAAAGAGCGUGGGCAACAGUCCAGGGGAAGGUGGGAGAGGGCGCCAUCGGCAUCUCUGUCCUCCUCUACUUGGUGGCCGCCAUGUACGCGGAAGACCACGAGGUCGCCGGGUCCGUCGCUGGCUGACCGAAACAGGGUACCCAGAUCCUGCCGUCGGUCGCAAGCCUCGCCGUCUACCUUCACCAGCCACCCCGAACGCCAUUUGUCCGGCUGGGCGGGGAUGGAGCGACGAUUCGGAGAUGUAGCAGAGCGCUUGGCGGCAGCUGCUCUCGGCACGCGACGGCGUGCCCCACAUCCAGAGGCUCGCCUCGGCGCCCACAUCGUCCUCCUACUACUUCUCGGUGCCGCUGACCCGGCGGGUGCCAAGGGAGGUGACGUACAUCCAGAGCGUCUGCGCGCAGAUGAACCGGCUCUGGUGCUCCAUCCCCGCCAGGCGCAGCGCGAAAUCUGGAAGAGCCAGGGAUGCUGUCCAGCUGAUGCUUGGUAUCGACUCGAAGUUCAUCAUCCAUUGUAUUGAGGAUCUCUCGAUGAUGAUCAGCAGUAUUGCAAGUUCGGCAGAAAUAAGUGAAUACUGGUCAGUAUAAUUAUAUGACGAUAAUAUUGGGGUACAAGAUCAUUUCCUAUUUUUCAUGGAGUUAGAGAACAAGAUGGUGCGUUGCAUGUUGCACAUUCAGUAUUGCUACAUAAUUAGCAGGUGAUCUUUAGACAAGUGAAUGUCUAACUGCCAUUGUCAAGUGACAGUGAGAAGAACAACGUUUACAGCCUGUGGAGUAUCUUCCAAGUUAGAUAUACCAUCCCGCAAGGUCAAGAUUUACUGAAAUGGAUUAUACUUAGAGUUGGGACGUCGCCUUACUUUUAACAUUUCAAACAGUUUCCCUUCUCUAGGUAUGGGUGUUUCUCAAGCUGUCGCUCGAGUUUCUCAUCAUGCUCUGCAAUUAUAUUUUCUACCUCUUCAUGAUCAUUGUCCUGACAAGCGAAGUCCAAGAUGGGUAGAUUGUCGUACAUUCGCUUGGUAUCUGGUACUUAAUUACUUGCUUACUCUUAUUACUCCCUCCGUAAACUAAUAUAAGAGCGUUUAGAUCACUAGUGAUCUAAACGCUCUUAUAUUAAUUUAAAGAGGGAGUACUUGACUGCUGAGCUCACAAUCAGAAGUUCAGAACCACAGCUUGAUGAGAACAUUCUGAGCUAACUAAAUAUAGUGUGCUUCUCUUUUUAUUCUACAUUCUUUGGAAUACUAAUUAUAGCAUGGGAAGGUAUGAUCUUGAUGGCCCUCUCUGCUGCUAUCAGGUCAGAUUAGUUACAACUACAUGUAUAAAAUGUUACUCUUUGCUCAGAUAGUUCUUAGUAGUGCAUUUUCCCAGUCACAAAAUUUUCCUUUAUACCCAAGGAUAAGUUAGAGCAUAAAAAUGAAAUCAGAAACUGGGGUGGAUAUUGUUAGGAAGGGCAUAUUGUUGUACAUCUAUGCCUGCCUGCACUAUGCACCAUUUCAUUCACGCGGGAAGGUAUUGUAACAUCCGAAAUAACAAGCUAGCUGAAAAGACAUGCAUACUAUUGACUUAACGGUUGUGAAACUCAAAUAUUUGGAGUUGCCCCAAAGGGAAAUAGAGGUUCAGAGUUACAGUGGAAGCCACCACCCACUGAAACUGCAACGAGUUGACUGGGAAAAACCACCUUCAAUAUAUAAGAGUUCCUUCUUACACCUACACUAUAAAAAAAAAAGGAGUAUGAAAAAGUCACCUUGGAUCAUAAUUCAAGGAAUCUAUUACUCUUUGCUCCGUUCUAUUUAAAUUACAUAUUGUAACAAUUAACAUGUUAAUGUGUGUCUGGUUAUGUCUUGCCUUGCUACUUGGGUGCCACCGAUGUCUGCUUAUUGUCUUCCAUGCAAAUAAAAGAAUCCAAAUACAUCAGGUCUCUUAAUAUUUGUACCUACUACUGAUAUUUGUUUCAUUUUUGGCUGAAGCUCUCAAAGGUUUAGCCUUCAAGCUUUACAAUAUGGGUUGGGAUUUCAGAGAUGAUUUGUGCAUUAUAAUUGUAAUUUGGGCAAUUUCUUGGUUUGAGGAACAUAACUGCAACUCGAGUGACUGAGCACAUGCAACACUGCAGGCGUACACCUUGAAACAGACACCUGAUGGCCUGGCAAGUUCUACUCCUGAAAUCAACGUCUAUGGCUUGAGUAAGUGUCAGCGGCAUCCCUAGGUCCGACAACAAUCAUGCGAGAGCAAUCUGUGGUGGUAGAUUUCUGCAUGAUGUAUCUUGAAUAAGGAUGUCACAGUUGUAUUAAUGUAUGUAUCCUGCUAAUUUUGCAAGACAGUUUUUGAAAUGUAACUCCAAAAUUCAAAUGACUUCCUUUCA